AUGGAUUUGAGGGCGUUCUUCGGGGGCAAGAAGCAGGAGCCGGAGCAGAACGGGCACGCCAACGGGGCGGCGCCCAACGGGGGCGUCAAGAAGAGGACCGCCGAUUUGGCCAUCUACGAGCAGUACGAGCAGCAGGCCAGGCAGCCGGAGAUGCGCGCCGCGGCAAUUCGCGAUGGGAAUGCUGAUGUGAUCCAGAAGCCUCUCCUACCUCAAUUUGAGUCAGCUGAAAUGCGUAACUUAGCAGAGACAUUGUUGCGGGAUAUUAUCCGCGGGAGCCCUGAUGUGCAAUGGGAAAGCAUCAAGGGACUAGAGACUGCAAAACGUCUGCUAAAAGAAGCAGUCGUCAUGCCCAUAAAGUACCCAAAAUACUUCACUGGUCUACUAUCACCGUGGAAAGGCAUCUUACUUUUUGGUCCUCCUGGAACAGGGAAGACAAUGCUGGCAAAAGCAGUUGCUACUGAGUGCAAUACUACAUUCUUCAACAUCUCGGCUUCAUCAAUUGUCAGCAAAUGGCGUGGAGAUUCUGAGAAGCUAGUCAAAGUUCUUUUUGAGCUUGCAAGACAUCAUGCACCAUCAACAAUAUUUCUUGAUGAGAUUGAUGCUAUUAUUAGUCAGCGUGGUGAAGCUCGUAGUGAGCAUGAAGCUAGUCGACGCUUGAAGACUGAGCUACUUAUUCAGAUGGAUGGCUUGACAAAAACGAACGACUUAGUAUUUGUGCUUGCAGCAACAAAUCUACCAUGGGAAUUAGAUGCAGCUAUGCUCCGUCGGCUUGAGAAGCGGAUUCUUGUACCACUUCCUGAAGCUGAAGCAAGGCAGGCCAUGUUUAAGGAACUUUUGCCAGCAAUGACCUCAAAUCUAGAGGUCCCAUAUGAUAUCCUGGUCGAAAAGACUGAAGGGUACUCCGGUUCAGACAUCCGUCUCGUGUGCAAAGAAGCUGCCAUGCAGCCACUGAGACGUCUCAUGUCAGUUCUUGAGGCCAGUGAUGAGCUGGUGCCAGAGGAAGAGCUGCCUGAGGUUGGCCCUCUCAAACCUGAAGACGUUGAACUUGCUUUGAGCAACACAAGGCCGUCAGCCCAUCUCCAAGCACAUCGUUAUGAAAAAUUUAACCAGGACUAUGGGAGCCAUAUUCUUUCCUAA
rnacentral:rRNA from 1 species